rnacentral:tRNA from 1 species
GGGGAUUUGGCUCAGUGGUAGAGCGCUUGCCUAGCAAGCACAAGGUCCUGGGUUUGGUCCCUAGCUCCA